rnacentral:tRNA from 2 species
UGGCGGGUAGUUCAACGGCAGAACGCCUGACUUUGGAUCAGGAAGAUGCAGGUUCGAAUCCUGCCCCGCCAGCCA